UAGUAACGGCGAGUGAAGCGGGAACAGCUCAAAUUUGAAAUCUGGCCUUCGGGUCCGAAUUGUAAUUUGCAGAGGAUGCUUUUGGUUAGGUACUUUCCGAGUUCCCUGGAACGGGACGCCUUAGAGGGUGAGAGCCCCGUACGGUUGGAUACCGAGCCUUUGUAAAGCUCCUUCGACGAGUCGAGUAGUUUGGGAAUGCUGCUCUAAAUGGGAGGUAAAUUUCUUCUAAAGCUAAAUACCGGCCAGAGACCGAUAGCGCACAAGUAGAGUGAUCGAAAGAUGAAAAGCACUUUGAAAAGAGGGUUAAAUAGCACGUGAAAUUGUUGAAAGGGAAGCGUUUAUGACCAGACUUUUUCCAGGCGAAUCAUCCGGUGUUCUCGCCGGUGCACUUCGUCUGGUUGAGGCCAGCAUCGGUUUUCGUGGGGGGAUAAAAGCGGUGGGAAUGUGACUCCUCCGGGAGUGUUAUAGCCCGCCGUAUAAUACCUCCAUGGGGACCGAGGUUCGCGCUCUGCAAGGAUGCUGGCGUAAUGGUCAUCAACGACCCGUCUUGAAACACGGACCAAGGAGUCGAACAUUUGUGCGAGUGUUUGGGUGUUAAACCCUCACGCGUAAUGAAAGUGAACGGAGGUGAGAGCCCUUACGGGUGCAUCAUCGACCGAUCCUGAUGUUUUCGGAUGGAUUUGAGUAAGAGCAUAACUGUUCGGACCCGAAAGAUGGUGAACUAUGCGUGGAUAGGGUGAAGCCAGAGGAAACUCUGGUGGAGGCUCGCAGCGGUUCUGACGUGCAAAUCGAUCGUCAAAUCUGCGCAUGGGGGCGAAAGACU
rnacentral:rRNA from 1 species